CCUACGGGAGGCAGCAGUGAGGAAUAUUGGUCAAUGGACGAGAGUCUGAACCAGCCAAGUAGCGUGAAGGAUGACUGCCCUAUGGGUUGUAAACUUCUUUUAUAUGGGAAUAAAAUGUUCCACGUGUGGGAUUUUGUAUGUACCAUAUGAAUAAGGAUCGGCUAACUCCGUGCCAGCAGCCGCGGUAAUACGGAGGAUUCGAGCGUUAUCCGGAUUUAUUGGGUUUAAAGGGAGCGUAGGUGGAUUGUUAAGUCAGUUGUGAAAGUUUGCGGCUCAACCGUAAAAUUGCAGUUGAAACUGGCAGUCUUGAGUACAGUAGAGGUGGGCGGAAUUCGUGGUGGAGCGGUGAAAUGCUUAGAUAUCACGAAGAACUCCGAUUGCGAAGGCAGUUCACUGGACUGCAACUGACACUGAGGCUCGAAAGUGUGGGUAUCAAACAGGAUUAGAUACCCGAGUAGUC
rnacentral:rRNA from 1 species